GAAAUGCGAUAAGUAAUGUGAAUUGCAGAAUUCAGUGAAUCAUCGAAUCUUUGAACGCACCUUGCGCUCCUUGGUAUUCCUUGGAGCAUGCCUGUUUGAGUAUCAUGAAAUCUUCAAAGUAAAUCUUUUGUUAACUCAAUUGGUUUCUACUUUGGUAUUGGAGGUCUUUGCAGCUUCACACCUGCUCCUCUUUGUUCAUUAGCUGGAUCUCAGUGUUAUGCUUGGUUCCACUCGGCGUGAUAAGUUAUCUAUCGCCGAGGACACUGUAAAAGGUGGCCAAGGUAAAUGCAGAUGAACCGCUUCUAAUAGUCCAUUGACUUGGACAAUACUUUUAUGAUCUGAUCUCAAAUCAGGUAGGACUACCCGCUGAACUUAAGA
rnacentral:misc_RNA from 1 species